rnacentral:rRNA from 1 species
UCGAGAAUCAUUCACAAUGGGCGAAAGCCUGAUGGUGCAACGCCGCGUGGAGGACGAAGGCCCUAGGGUCGUAAACUCCUGUCAUCAGAGAGUAAUGCUUAUGAGUUAAUAGCUUGUAAGUUUGAUAGUAUCUGAAGAGGAAGGGACGGCUAACUUCGUGCCAGCAGCCGCGGUAAUACGAAGGUCCCAAGCGUUGUUCGGAAUCACUGGGCGUAAAGGGAGCGUAGGCGGUAAGGAAAGUCAGAUGUGAAAUCCCGGGGCUCAACCUCGGAACUGCAUUUGAUACUCCCUUACUAGAGUAUUGGAGAGGUAGAAGGAAUUCUCGGUGUAGCAGUGAAAUGCGUGGAUAUCGAGAGGAAGACCAAUGGCGAAGGCAUUCUACUGGACAAUUACUGACGCUGAGGCUCGAAGGCUAGGGUAGCGAAAGGGAUUAGAUACCCCCGUAGUCC